GACUCGAGUCAAGCAUCUAAAAGGACAUCAGGGUCUCUUCAGGCUCCCAAUUUCAAACACUGCGAAAACCACUCAGCUGCACCAGCCAACGGGGGAGACCAGUAGCCCUUUCCUGCUCGCUUUCUAUGCCAACACCGGACACCUAACUCGGCCCAGGACUGAACACCUUCUAGCCCCUCGUUCACGGCCCCAACCAGGACCGGAAGACCUGCCUCAGCUACCUGCUCUGACUCCAGAGGUCUGGAGGUGCCUCAAUCCGCUGUCCCCCUGCCAAAGGUUUCUCACCAACAGAAUUACAGCCAUCUCUCGGGCGGUCCACAGACCACCUCAGGACAGUCCUUCUCCAGACAAGGCGACUGGCUUCCCAUU